CGCCCGCACUCAGGGAGAGUCCCUUUGGCCAGAGACUCACCUUCAGUGUCGCCCGGAGUUUGGUGGAGCCGCCGCGCAGGGUGGCCUCGACGGGGCCCAAACUCUCCAUCGGAGAUGAGCCGCGGGAACAAGCCCUGGCCUAGUUACCCAGCACUGGUGCCAGCGGCCGUGGCUGAGGCCUGGGGUGGCCUCGGGGCCGAGUUGCUCUGGCCGGGGGCCCAGGUCGGCCUGGCGGGAAAACUGGGGCCUCCCAGAGCGAGAGGACCUACGGUGAUGCUGCCUAGUGCGUCAGUGCCAGGGCCUCGGCCGUGCCAAAUUGGCCCCUCUGCCAUGUGAGGGCCAAUUGCGAAGGGUUUGGGGAAUAUUUCGGCCAAGUAGUUUUUCAUUUUAUAAAGGAUGUAUUUUACUCCCUUUUGGGAGAGCUGUGGUACCCCCUGGGUCAAUAUUUGUUCUUUAGUUUCAACAUCUUUAGGAGCAUUAAAACCCUCCCUGUUAAAUAUUCUCCAGAAACGCAACACUGGUCAGGACAGGAAAUAUUUUAGCGACCUCGGUGGUCACCUACUUUAUGGUGCUUCACUCAAACCAUUUUGAAACUCACCUACCACUUGUUUAUGAUACGGUUUUAUUUCAAAACCAUGGUAGAAUUUUGUUUUGUUUUCAAAACAGCUAAGGUGAGUUGGCUGAGGAGUGGACAAGACAGAGAGGUAAAGAGUUCUCCUAAUAUGAUCAAAGCAGCCGGAAGAUGCAACUUUUAACUGAAUGAGAAUUUGUGAUAUGACAAAGAAACCUUUUUUGUAACAUUCCUUCCAUACAAUGUCAGUUGUAUAUCCAAGAUGAAUUUCAGUUGUGUCUCCAUGGCCCAAACUGGAAAGAACUGAGAUGAUUUUGGAUCAUUUUGUUGACACAGACCGAGAGAGGGUGAGGGAAGAGAAGGCUGGCUGCCGAACACAGAAAUACGGAGUUGAUGGUCCUCCCGUCAGCUCUUGCUCGGUUAAAGCAUUGGGGUUACUAUUUAUUUUUAAGAUGUCAAUAUAUUUAUUUUUAGAGAGAGAGGGGAAGGGAGGGAGAAAGAGAGAGAGAAACAUCAGCAUGAGAGAGAAAUACUGAUCGAUUGCCUCUCCUAUGCUCCCUGUCCAAGACCGAACCCACAACCGAACCUGCAACCCAAGCACGUGCCCUGACUGGGAAUCAAACCAGUGACCCUUCACUUUGCAGGACAAUGCCCAACUGAGCCACACUGGUCAGGGCCUUUGGGGUUACUUUUGACCCCCCUGAAAAGACAUCUGAGCUCUCCCUCACCUUCCUGUUGAAGGAGACCAAAGUUUUACCACCCUGAAGCUGCCUGGUGCACCGAUUUUCAGCUGGUUAUUAAGAAACAAAAGUCUCAGAAAAUUACCCUUGACUCUCCCCCCUUUUAAGCUGGAGAGACUGAGGCAGAAAAACCUGCUUCAGGAAGGGAAUCUUAGGAUUUCGCCUUAGCCUAAUUGGAAUUAAGUAUGGUAAAUAGGAGGGCUUCAGGCAGGGCCUGCUAUUCAGGUGCCCCUGUACCCCAUUGUCUCUGAGUCACCUAGGGGGAGUCUCCUGCCUUGUGUGUUCGCUUGUCCUCAAGUACCUAUGAAGCACCCCUUUUCACUUUUGAAAUCUCAGACCCCUACCCACCCCACCUCCUUUUUCUCCUUUGUCUGAAAUGUCAUAUAUACCCAGUGUUGCCUCUCUGUCCUUGGGGUGUUCAUGCUUAUUUGAAUUUCUUGAGUGCAUGUAUUCAAGUUAUGAUUUUCUUUUGUUAA